rnacentral:rRNA from 1 species
CGCGUAGGCUGUGCUGUAAGUCAGGCGUGAAAGGCCCGGGCUCAACCUGGGAACUGCGCAUGAUACUGCGGCGCUUGAAGGCGGGAGAGGAUGGCGGAAUUCCCAGUGUAGAGGUGAAAUUCGUAGAUAUUGGGAAGAACACCGGUGGCGAAGGCGGCCAUCUGGCCCGCAAUUGACGCUGAGGCGCGAAAGCGUGGGGAGCAAACAGGAUUAGAUACCCUGGUAGUCCACGCCGUAAACGAUGAGUGCUAGACGUUGGGGAGCUUGCUCUUCGGUGUCGCCGCUAACGCAUUAAGCACUCCGCCUGGGGAUACGGUCGCAAGAUUAAA